UGGUGGUGUUCCUGAGUCUGCCACCCCAGAAUCUCUCCUCAAAGAAGCCAUUCAUGUCAUUAGCUGUGGAUAUGAGGACAAGGCAGACUGGGGAAGUGAAAUAGGAUGGGUUCUGUUACAGAAGAUAUCCUUACAGGAUUCAAGAUGCAUGCCCGUGGUUGGAGAUCAAUCUAUUGCGUGCCUCAGCUUGCGGCCUUUAAAGGAUCUGCUCCUAUCAACC
rnacentral:misc_RNA from 1 species